rnacentral:rRNA from 1 species
UUGGAGGGCAAGUCUGGUGCCAGCAGCCGCGGUAAUUCCAGCUCCAAUAGCGUAUAUUAAAGUUGUUGAGGUUAAAAAGCUCGUAGUUGAACCUUGGGCCUAGCCGGCCGGUCCGCCUCACCGCGUGCACUGGCUCGGCUGGGCCUUUCCUUCUGGAGAACCGCAUGCCCUUCACUGGGUGUGCCGGGGAACCAGGACUUUUACUCUGAACAAAUUAGAUCGCUUAAAGAAGGCCUAUGCUCGAAUACAUUAGCAUGGAAUAAUAGAAUAGGACGUGUGGUUCUAUUUUGUUGGUUUCUAGGACCGCCGUAAUGAUUAAUAGGGACAGUCGGGGGCAUCAGUAUUCAAUUGUCAGAGGUGAAAUUCUUGGAUCUAUUGAAGACUAACUACUGCGGAAGCGUUUGCCAAGGAUGUUUUCAUUAAUCAGGAACGAAAGUUAGGGGAUCGAAGACGAUCAGAUACCGUCGUAGUCUUAACCAUAAACUAUGCCGAUUAGGGAUCGGACGAUGUUAUUUUUUGACUCGUUCGGCGCCUUACGGGAAAC